rnacentral:rRNA from 1 species
UACGUAGGGAGCAAGCGUUGUCCGGAAUCAUUGGGCGUAAAGAGCGCGUAGGUGGCCCUGUAAGUCCGUUCUGAAAGUCGGAGGCUCAACCUCCGAAAGCGGAUGGAUACUGCAGGGCUAGAGUCCGGAAGAGGCGAGUGGAAUUCCUGGUGUAGCGGUGGAAUGCGCAGAUAUCAGGAGGAACACCAACGGCGAAGGCAGCUCGCUGGGACGGUACUGACGCUGAGGCGCGAAAGCGUGGGGAGCGAACAGG